GAUUCCACUAUGACAUAAAUUAAUCAGUUGCACCUGACUACCUAACAGCCGACAUUCACGUCCAAAACCUGUCGCUUCCGCCAACAGAUGGCACCACCACCUCCGUAAACAAAUACUUCCACCUGGAAAAUUACGAAUAUACAGACGAAAUACCUACACUCCGUAAACUAACUACAAAAGUCUAGACUGCAAUAUCCCUCAAAAACAACACAGCUCAAAAUACAGUCAUAUAAACACAAACAAGAAAACGCAAAAGACAAGCAAAGGAACCGGAAGUAAUUAGUCCAAGUGUCUGCGAGUGAGUCCUAAUUCGGGGUCAGUCAGCAGCAGUGCGUCAAGGUGCAAAGGUGUGGAGUCAGAAGUGGCAGUUUUGCAAUACUGCAUGUGGUUAUUUGGAUCUUUAGAAUUGGAGGGAAAUGACCUAGGUGUCUUCUGCGACUACACAAUAUCCCGAUUUAGUCUUCCAUACACUGCGUGUGGGUCUUCCAGUUUUGAAAAAUUACCACGUGUGUGUACGUGGUGUUAUAGCAUAGUGGUAUACAUUUGCGUAAGACGGUUCCUAAAGUCAAACCCUGCUAAAAUGGGGGAUGCAGAGUACAACAUUCUAUUAUGUCAUGGGUCCAGUAAAUACGAGGUGGUGGUUUGGGGUGCCAUGACCUUGGCUGACUUGGCCAGUAAGAUUGAGGCAGUGACUCAUAUCUCGCAAGCCAGUAUGAAGAUCAUAUUCAAAGGGAAAAACCUGGCCGACCCAGGCGUGACCCUUGCCAGCUACGGCAUUGGGCCUGGGGCAAAGGUUAUGGUGUUGGGGAAGAAAUAUGACCCUGAGGACGAUGCUAGUUAUCAAGCUGUGGCGCAGAUUGAUUAUUCAUGCUCGGAGGUGGAAAAAAAGCUGAACGACUUAUUGCCUGAGGUCGACAGUAUUGCUAAUGGCUACAUGGAACCUCAUUUGUGUGGAGAAGCGCUAGGGAAGUUGAAGAAACAACUGCUUGGGGUGAAUGAGGAGUUCAUGAGGUUACUGGAACGACUCGAUGGAAUAUCCUUCGAGGAGAACCAAGCACCGGCAAGACAGAAGAGGAAGUCAGUUGUCCAGAGAAUCCAGCAUUUAAUGGAAAGGACGGACCAAGUACAAGAAAACAUUAAUCACCUAAUUAAGAGCUAUUCCUAGUAACAGCUAAGAUCUUAGCUUUGUGAUGAUAUGCUCCAAAAACAAUUUCAGGAGGGAGAAACUUCAAGGGAUUUGAGUAAAGAACCUAGUCCAGCAGAUGGUUUAGAAGGAGGUCAAAAUUCAGGCAGCAGAAGAACAAGUUCCGAGGAAUCUGAAAAGGGGAAGUGUGUCAACUGAUAAACCACAAGAAGAAAGCCAUAAUUCAGG
rnacentral:misc_RNA from 1 species